GUUUCUUGAUCCAAGGAUAAAUCUGACUGCCAUUCUGGGGUCAAGAAGGAAUAAUUAUUUUUCCUAGUUUGUUGCAAAAAAAGUACUUUUGGCUCAACAGCAAAAAACAGACGUGAGGAAAGCUGAACUUGAUGAACACAUGUGUAACUAAAGGUCCAAGCUUCCUGAUAUUUUUUUUUGUUUUGUGAUCUGCUGCUCUGAAAUUAUCAUAGUGUGUGCCCAGGCAGUUACAGGUAUCCUCCUUAAUCUGGCUGAGUGUCAGGUCCACUAAUGAUUCUAUGUGUAUGUUACUGUUCCUCUAACUAACUACCUAUCUAAACAGUCUUCUCUAAUCCUCUGGAGCUUGUUUAAACCCUUAAGGACACAUGACAUGUGUGACAUGUCAUGAUUCCCUUUUAUUCCAGAAGUUUGGUCCUUAAGGGGUUAAUGAGUCUGGUGUUGGGUUCUCCAUUUACCUCCAUACAGUUUCUGCAUUGUGCCAUCAAAGCUGAGCCUUGUGCAACCUUCUGAGCUCUGGAUUAUUAGUCCCACCUCCUAAAUGUUCAUCACUACGUCAACUCCUGGGUUGACCUCCUUGAAUUGGGUUUAAGGUUUGACUCAGCUGGAUCAUAUACUUACCUCUCUCUCACUCCUCUUGCAUAACCUACAUUACUUCAUGACAAAUUGUCUGCAUUACUCUUAGCUGACUGUUCUCAAGUACCAACACUUGGGUCUGUGCACUCCUUUUCCCCCAUGUAAUUUAUAUUUGUAAGUUUUUUUUACAUUAACCGUGACUAUUCCUAGACCAUAGUCACUGCAGCUCAUUGUAGUGGUUGUGAAUCUAUAAGCAGCCUCAUCUGUUUUUUGUGUUGGUUUCUGAUUUGUUUUGUUAGUUUUUGGGGCCUGCGUGUCCCCUGUGAUUUUAUUUUCUUUAAAGAUCUGCUUAUCUUAACUUAUU